rnacentral:rRNA from 1 species
AUCCUGGCUCAGGAUGAACGCUGGCGGCAUGCCUAAUACAUGCAAGUCGAACGAGAGACCUUCGGGUCUCUAGUGGCGAACGGGUGAGUAACACGUAGGGAACCUGCCCGCGCACCGGGAAUACGCUCUGGAAACGGAGAACAAAUCCCGAUGUACAGGAAGGAGGCAUCUUCUUUCUGUGAAACAUCCUCUAGGGGAUGGGGCGCGGAUGGACCUGCGGUGCAUUAGUUUGUUGGCGGGGUAAAGGCCCACCAAGACGAUGAUGCAUAGCCGGCCUGAGAGGGCGGACGGCCACAUUGGGACUGAGACACGGCCCAGACUCCUGCGGGAGGCAGCAGUAGGGAAUUUUCGUCAAUGGGCGCAAGCCUGAACGAGCGAUGCCGCGUGAGCGAAGAAGGCCUUCGGGUCGUAAAGCUCUGUUGCGGGGGAAAAAAGGCAGCAUCAGGAAAUGGGUGCUGACUGAUGGUGCCCCGCCAGAAAGUCACGGCUAACUACGUGCCAGCAGCCGCGGUAAUACGUAGGUGGCGAGCGUUAUCCGGAAUGAUUGGGCGUAAAGGGUGCGCAGGCGGUCCUGCAAGUCUGGAGUGAAACGCAUGAGCUCAACUCAUGCAUGGCUUUGGAAACUGGAGGACUGGAGAGCAGGAGAGGGCGGUGGAACUCCAUGUGUAGCGGUAAAAUGCGUAGAUAUAUGGAAGAACACCAGUGGCGAAGGCGGCCGCCUGGCCUGUUGCUGACGCUGAGGCUCGAAAGCGUGGGGAGCAAAUAGGAUUAGAUACCCUGGUAGUCCACGCCGUAAACGAUGACUGCUAGGUGUCGGGGGACGACAGUGCCCCGGUGCCGCCGCAAACGCAGUAAGCAGUCCACCUGGGGAGUACGUUCGCAAGAAUGAAACUCAAAGGAAUUGACGGGGACCCGCACAAGCGGUGGAGCAUGUGGUUUAAUUCGAGGCAACGCGAAGAACCUUACCCAGCCUUGACAUCCCGGCGGAGACGGGGCAAUGCCCGUCGCCCUUCGGGGCGCCGGAGACAGGUGGUGCAUGGUUGUCGUCAGCUCGUGUCGUGAGAUGUUGGGUCAAGUCCCGCAACGAGCGCAACCCCUGCCCCCAGUAGCCAGCGUAGAGGCGGGCACUCUGGGGGGACUGCCGGGGACAACCCGGAGGAAGGCGGGGACGACGUCAAAUCAUCAUGCCCCUUACGGCUGGGGCUACACACGUGCUACAAUGGGGCCGACAGAGGGAGGCGGACGCGCGAGCGCGAGCGGACCCCAAAAACGGCCCCCCAGUUCGGAUUGCAGCCUGCAACUCGGCUGCAUGAAGCCGGAAUCGCUAGUAAUCGCGGAUCAGAACGCCGCGGUGAAUACGUUCCCGGGUCUUGUACACACCGCCCGUCA